rnacentral:lncRNA from 1 species
GAUGUAUUUUUGUCCGCGUGAUAGUUAUUCAUCCUUUCUUUUUCAUUUUUUUGUGUAGGUUCUCAAGCUACUAUUGUUGCAUCAGUCUCCUCUCUCCGUGCCUCUACAGUGUGUGAUGUCUUUCCACUCCAAUGCAACUUUCAAAGCCAAACCAUUUAUGAGGUUGAACAGUCGGUACAGCCAUUCUGGGACUACCAUCACAGCAAGCAGGAAGAGGGGCUGGCUGAUACUUGUUCCAGAUCUUCUUGUAGGCUUCCUUGGCCCUGGACUUUCAGCUGGUGAGUGCUUAAUGGGCACUAAUGUCCUGGAAGUUACAGAGCAGGCAUUUAAUGAACUCACUCAAGAUAGUAACAUUGGUAAUAAUAUUCUGAAUAUGAGCAAGGAGUAAUAAGCGAUAUUUUCAACAUGCAAAUCAUAUCCUAUCACUUUCCUGCUCUGAAAUGUCCAAUGUUUUCCCAUUUGCCUGAAGUAAAACCAAAUUCUCUGUGAGGUCUGCAGAACCUCGCAGUAUCUAGCUGGCCCUUCCCUGCCCCCCUCUCCAGUUUCACCUUUUAUUUUAACAGCCUUAUUGAGAUAUAAUUCAUAAACUAUCCAAUGCAUACAAUUGAAGGGUUUUUAGUACGUUCACAGAGUUAUGCAACCAUCACCACAAUUUUAGAACAUUCCCAUCAUGCUGCAAAAUAACCCUGUGCCUACAGCACUCCCUCCUCAUUUCUGCCCACCCCACAGCUCCGACAGCCACUGAUGUACUUUGUGUCUCUACAGAUUUGCCUAUUGUGGACAUUUCAUGUAAAUGGACAAUAUGUGGUCUUGUGUGACAAGUUUCUCUCAUUUAGCAUAAUGUUUUCAAGGUUUGUCAAUGUUGUGGUAUAUAUGAAAACAGCCAUAGCUCAGAGAUAUUGUGGGUUCAGUUCCAGACCACCGCAGCAAAGCAAAUACUGCAAAAAAGCAAGUCACAUGAACUUUCUGUUUUCCCAGGACAUAUAAAAGUUAUGUUUGCACUAG